rnacentral:rRNA from 1 species
UGCUGACGAGUGGCGAACGGGUGAGUAAUACAUCGGAACGUGCCUAGUAGUGGGGGAUAACUACUCGAAAGAGUAGCUAAUACCGCAUGAGAUCUACGGAUGAAAGCAGGGGACCUUUGGGCCUUGUGCUACUAGAGCGGCUGAUGGCAGAUUAGGUAGUUGGUGGGGUAAAGGCUUACCAAGCCUGCGAUCUGUAGCUGGUCUGAGAGGACGACCAGCCACACUGGGACUGAGACACGGCCCAGACUCCUACGGGAGGCAGCAGUGGGGAAUUUUGGACAAUGGGCGAAAGCCUGAUCCAGCAAUGCCGCGUGCAGGAUGAAGGCCCUCGGGUUGUAAACUGCUUUUGUACGGAACGAAAAGCCUGGGGCUAAUAUCCCCGGGUCAUGACGGUACCGUAAGAAUAAGCACCGGCUAACUACGUGCCAGCAGCCGCGGUAAUACGUAGGGUGCAAGCGUUAAUCGGAAUUACUGGGCGUAAAGCGUGCGCAGGCGGUUUUGUAAGACAGUGGUGAAAUCCCCGGGCUCAACCUGGGAACUGCCAUUGUGACUGCAAGGCUAGAGUGCGGCAGAGGGGGAUGGAAUUCCGCGUGUAGCAGUGAAAUGCGUAGAUAUGCGGAGGAACACCGAUGGCGAAGGCAAUCCCCUGGGCCUGCACUGACGCUCAUGCACGAAAGCGUG